UGUAAAGUUCAAGCUCCGAUUAUGAGGGCGAAACCGCGAAUGGCUCAUUAAAUCAGUCAUAAUCUACUUGAUUGUUUAAAGUUUAUAUGGAUAACUGUGGUAAUUCUAGAGCUAAUACAUGCACAAAGAGGGCGACUCUCUAACGAGAGAAGCCUUGCGUUUAUUAGUCUAAGACCAAUGGAAGCGUUCGCGCUUUCCUUUUUUAAGGUGACUCUGAAUAAAUAAUGGGUGAAAGCCCAUGUUGCUGACCUGGCGCUCAAAGGGCCUUCGGGUUCUGCCAGGCAAAUCAAUCGAGUGUCUGCUCUAUCAACUGUGGAUGGUAGGGUAAUUGCCUACCAUGGUGGUGACGGGUAACGGGGAGUUAGGGCUCGACUCCGGAGAACAAGCCUGAGAAACGGCUAGUAGGACUAAGGUCUGCAGCAGGCGCGAAACUUACACAAUGCUAGAUUAAAAUUAGCGAUGUAGUGAAGAAAAAUAACGAUGUACUUUUAUUUAAACAUAAUAGUACAAUUGGAAUGAGACGACUAUAAAUGAGUUAGUCGAGUAACAAAUGGAGGGCAAGUCUGGUGCCAGCAGCCGCGGUAAUUCCAGCUCCAUUAGCAUACAUUAAAGUUGUUGCGGUUAAAAAGCUCGUAGUUGAAUUUUAGACGGUCUCUAGAGUUGUGCUUCCGCUAAGGCUUUGGCGCACUCGUGCCCAUCGCUGGUCGUACUAACUUUUAGGAGGCCGUUGUUUCGUCACUUAAUCGAGUGCGAAGCGGGCUGGUACAGAGCCAAUUCGUUGGCUCCUGUUUCAGCAUGUUUACCUUGAGAAAAUUAGAGUGCUCACAGCAGGCAGUUGGGGUGUAAAAGCCCCUUUAAUGCUUGAAUAAUGUUGCAUGGAAUAAUAGAAUACGGCCUCGGUUCUAUUCUGUUGGUCUUAUAGAACAACAAACAAGUUGGUUAAGGCGAUCAAAGGUUUGCUUGGAGUGGGGUUCAAUGGGGAGUCUUGUUGCCGUGAGGUAAAACUUACGCGCCAUACCUCCGUUAACUAUCCAACUGCUCCUUGUAGGCUAGCCUUCUAAUCAACUGAGGCAAUGGUUAAAAGAAAUAGUCGCGGCGGCAUCAGUACUGCAUCGUGAGAGGUGAAAUUCUUAGACCGAUGCAAGACUAACUGAAGCGAAAGCGUUUGCCGAGGAUAUUUUCAUUAAUCAAGAACGAAAGUUAGAGGUUCGAAGGCGAUCAGAUACCGCCCUAGUUCUAACCAUAAACGUUGCCAACUAGCAAUUGGGUUGCGAUUCCUUUAAUUGUGCUUAAAGAGGAAACUCUUUUCACAAUCAUUAUGAUCCACCCAGCGGCUCUCGUAGGGAAACCAAAGUGUUUGGGUUCCGGGGGAAGUAUGAUUGCAAAGUUGAAACUUAAAGGAAUUGACGGAAGGGCACCACCAGGAGUGGAGCCUGCGGCUUAAUUUGACUCAACACGGGGAAACUUACUAGAUUAGAACUCUGGAAUGAUUGACAGAUUGAUAGCUCUUUCUUGAUUCAGAGGAUGGUGGUGCAUGGCCGUUCUUGAUUCGUAUUCCGAAACGUCUGCUUAAUUGCGAUAACGAGUGAGACCUCACCCAACUAACUAGUCGUUUGGUGCGCUGUUGGAACGCAAAAGUUUGCGCUAGAGCUCGGAGCAAUUGGAUGGGGUUCACGCCUUAAUUGGUUGUUCUCUUUAGCGUAAAUGUUCUCUGCUCGCCAGCGGACUUCUUAGAGGGAUAAACGGUGUUUUAGCCGUAAGAAACGAGGCAAUAACAGGUCUGUGAUGCCCUUAGAUACUCUAGGCCGCACGCGUGCUACAAUGGCGUGUGCAGAAAGCUUGUUCGAGGUUUGUCCAUGGAGAACUAGUUGUUUGGUUGGCGGUGGGUAGCAAUAUUCGUCGUCGGUCGGCAUCAAAGUGACCAUGGAGCCAAGCCGAGAGAAACCGUAGUCGAAAGAUUACGGCAAUCAAAAAUACACGCCGUGAUUUGGGAUUGGGGAUUGCAAUUGUUGCCCAUGAACGAGGAAUUCCCAGUAAGCGCAAUUCAUCAUAUUGCGUUGAUUACGUCCCUGCCCUUUGUACACACCGCCCGUCGCUACUACCGAUUGGAAGUUUUAGUGAGGCAUUUGGACCUGCUAUCCAUAAAAGGGGCAACUCUUUUUAGACGGCGGGGAAGUCUGUCGAACUCAAAUUUCUAGAGGAAGUAAAAGUCGUAACAAGGUUUCCGU
rnacentral:rRNA from 1 species